ACAGUGAAGGCGCAUGUAUGGAUGUAAAUAUAAGAUUGCAGAAUCUGGAACAAAAAAUAUUUCCCAUGGCUAUUUCCAUUUCAUCACUUACUAUGUUCCAUUUUCGUUGUGCAUACCAUGCCCGGCCUGUUGGUUAACAAAAUUUGAAUUACUUUUAUUUCCUAAAUUUCGAAUAUCAAUACUGACGAAAAUACACACGAAAAAUACUACAGAUUUAAUAUUUAUUUUACACAACACUCUGGUCACACAUAUUUUUUUUCAUUGAAAAGAAGAAUUAGGUAAUUGUUUGUGGGUUAAUUCACACAGUGCGAAACAACUAAUCAAUUUUUUUCCCUAGGAUCGUAUCAAAAUGCAAGGACUAGGGUUGCAAAGUAUAAAGAAAAAUCCAGCAGUAAGUUCAAUACCCUGAAACAAAUUUUUUUUAGUUAUGUAAUCAGUUUAUUUUGUAGCUGAUCCCACUCUAUGUCUGUGUUGCUGCUGGAGCCAUUGGUGCUGUCUAUUAUAUGGCUCGUCUAGCCACCAGAAAUCCAGACGUAACAUGGAAUCGCUCAACGAACCCAGAACCAUGGCAAGAGUACAAAGACAAACAAUAUAAGGUACCAAGCAUUUUGCCUAUAUUAACAUUAAAAAUUGCACUAAUCAUGGAAUCGAUUUUUCUAUGGCUAUAUACAUAUCCAUUAACAUAUAAAUAAAGUGCAUAUUCCAAUCAUAUGCAAAUAAACUACCCUACAUUUGUAGGGUAUCCUUAUAUAGCAAUUAUUAAUACAAACCACAUAUUUAUUUUCAGUUUUAUUCUCCUGUGAGGGACUAUUCAAAAACAAAGAGUGCUGCUCCAAACUAUGAGGAAUAAAAUCUUUAACAUGUUAUUAAAUUCUAUAUGAAAACUAAAUGCAUUCAAUGAAUUAAAAAUGUCGAAGUUUUUAUUGAUUUUACUGUUUUGGCCCCCACUUAAGGAGUUCAUACAUUUUAAACGGAAUGGGCCUUCCACUUUAUUUCCAGCUGUGGGUAAAACCUUUGUAAGAUAUUCGUACAAUAGAGAGGUGGGCGGCCUGUAAAGAGAAAAAUUGUAUUAUAAAUCCGGUACUCGGAAGAGUUAAAGGGAUAUAGUAGAUGUGGAUACAUAUGUACAUAUGCAACGCCUUGAAGAAAACGUUUCCGACCCCAUAAAUUAUAUACAUUGUUUGUUAAUUAGCACUAAUAGCCGAGAUAUAGCCUUGUCUGCCUGUCCUUCCGUCCUAAUGAGAAAGAGGAAACUCAUUUGCAGUGGCUACUCCCACCCACUCCAGAAAUUCUGCUGCCGGCUCAAUAUCUACACAUUUUGGAUAGCUAAAAGUGCGUGUUGGUGUGAGUAGUGUGUACAUGGAGCAGAAGAUGUACCAAAAGAUGUCCAAUGUAAAAUUCGAGCCUCACAACGUUCUUCCUCCUUUUAUAAGCGAUUUGAUGGAAAGGGUCUUUUUCCGAGUUUCUGGAUACUCGGCUUUAGAAAUAAAUUUAAUAAAUACAUAUAUUAAGAGUUUAUUAAAGAUUCAGUUAAAUAAACACAAGCUUAAAACAUCAGCAAAUCUAUUAAUGUAUAUAUACAAGAAACAAAA
rnacentral:lncRNA from 1 species